UGCUUCUAGUUCUACUAAAGACAUAGUAGCCAACAACAGAAACAUAAUCUUUUCAAGAUAGAAUAUUGAUUUUCAACGUCGACCUGAUGGUUGGUCGCCAUUCAAGUCUCUAAAAGAGAAAAUAAGUUACCAGACAAAAUGAGACUGCAGCUAAAUUUAAUGAUGAUAUUGCUACAUCGUCUAAAGCAGUAACUCAUACUUAUAAUGUCACACCUUUAAAAACUAUGAACAAGUCGACUGCAAAAAUGCUGAUUAGUGGAAACAAAUCUGAUAACGGCAGUGUUAUUACGUCACCAUUAAAAACAUCAAAAUAUACAUCUUCAUCUCAGUCGAAAGGCAGUGCAAAAAUAAAAGUUUAAUUUCUUUUUCUUUAAAUUUGUAUUGGACUAUAUUUCAUGUUUAAUAAUCAAAUAUCUACAUUUUAACAUGUAAAAAGGAGCCUAUUUAAUAAUGUUCAUAAUUGUCCAAAGGGCAAAGGUACAUAAGAGUGAUUCAAGUUUAACCGGCUGUACACCAAACAAUUCUAUUAUAAAUGGGGUCACGGUUGUGUUUGAGUACACGUGUAUAUGUGGAGCUUGGAUUCGUCACUAAACAUCCAUGUGGUCACCCAUCCGGAUGCUAGCUACGCCGGCCGAUGAUUGACACCCAUUAGGGACUU